GGACUCUAAGUAGCUUGCAAAUAGUAAACUGUCAAGGAAAGAAAAGCUUGUUAGGUUAUAUCACUUUAUAGCUUCUGAUGCCAGGUAAAUACUUUUUUUUAUUUUGCUUUUUAUUCUAAAAUUCAUUGGUGCUGAAUGGCAUUGCUUUGACUGCUGCAGUUAUUUUUUAUAAUGUCACUUUAUUAUUUGUGUGGUGAUGUUUAUUGCUCUUAUUGGCAUUCUUCUUGCCAUGGUACACCACCCAGAGCCAAUCUUAAAGCAGAAUAGAUUCCAAUUUACAGCUUGGUGGACAUGAUAAACUAUUUUGACGAUAUCAUUGCUUGCAAACAUUUUAGCCCUUGCAGUGUUUUGCUACACAGAGAUUGAGAAAUGAGUUUCAAAGUUUGGGAUUUCUGGAACCUCCGUUCCUGAGAUGAGAGGGUGUAGCCUGGAACAUAAAGGGCGUGGCAUUGUAGAUGAUGAUGAUGAUAAUAAUAAUAAUAAUAAUAAUAAUAAUAAUAAUAUAUUAUUUAUACCCCGCCACUCUGGGUGGCUUUCAACAAAAUAUUAAAAUACAAUAGUCCUUCAGAUAUUAAAAGUUUCCCUAAACAGGGCUGCCUUCACAUGUCUCCUAAAAGUCUGGUAGUUGUUUUUUCCUUUGACAUCUGGUGGGAGGGCGUUUGACAGGGCAGGCGCCACUACCGAGAAGGCCCUCUGCCUGGUUCCCUGUAACUUGGCUUCUCGCAGUGAGGGAGCCACCAGAAAGCCCUCGGUGCUGGACCUCAGUGUCCGGGCAGAACGAUGCGGGUGGAGAUGCUCCUUCAGGUAUACUGGACCGAGGCCAUUUAGGGAUUUAAAGGUCAGCACCAGCACUUUGAAUUGUGCUCAGAAACGUAGAUCAGGGAAGAAGAGUUUGGCGGAUGAAGUGGGGAGCCUAGCUGCUCUCCAUGGGUCACAGAGCAGAACCUGAUUGACAUGGGAACUGAGCUAAUAGCAAAAAGCUCUUACUGAGCCAAGCAGAAAAUAACUUUUCCCCCAUCUUAAAUUCUUCUGGACGGCCCCUGAGGAGUAGAAAACACAGAAAUGUCAGGUCAGACUCAGACUUGGCAACCCAGUUCUUAUACCUAGUCACUUACUUUCCCCACAAAAGAUCCCAGCUUAUUUCUUGCCAUUGCCUUUUCAGACCUUGUUUAUGCAGUCAGAAAGGCCUAAAGGUUGUAUUCGUAGCUGAAAUGAGCCCAUCAGCGUUUCCACAUCAACUGGCAGGUUGCACAAAUGUUUGUGUUGCAACCAUGUGUGUCACAUUGCGACUUGGGUAUAAAUAGCUGCAAGGAAAACAGGCUGCAACAAAGGGAGUAGGGAACCCUCUCCCAAUACAUAUGCUAAAAAAGUUGUUUAAAAAAAAUAUCCAGACAUUUACAUUUGAUUCAGGCCAUUUCUUGCUUUCUGCGCCCUUCCCAUGCCGUAAACUGCCAUUAAUAAUUAGUCUGUCUCUAUGAAGGGUAUACGGAAUGCCCUAAACUGUUGCUUCCCAUUUUACAAAGAAGCGUAUUUGCAAAACCUCACAGAUGGCUUUCCCUUGAGGCGCUGUGGCCUCCUCAUGCAGUGAAGAGCAGUGCUCUGACCUUGCAGUUAGCAACACUUUGUUUAAUUGUUACAUACUAUUUUUACUCCAUUGAGCGACAUGAUGCCUGCGUUCUCCAGCACAAAAGUGACAAAGCUGUUAGCAAACUUGGGUGUUCUGCAACACGUAGGUAACCUGAGUUGUUGGAGUGGGGAAGAGAGUUGUGCACGAAGGUGGUCAGCAGAAUGUGUUGGUGAGCUCUCGGCUUCUGGCAACCUUAAACUCAAUAGGGAGCAAACUAAAGAUCGCUAGAUAAAAACAACAUCAACAACAACUUUAUUAUUUAUACCCCACCCAUCUUGCUGGGUUUCCCCAGCCACUCUGAGUGGCUUACAGCAUAUUAAAAAAAUGUAAAAAUUAGACAUUAAAAACUUCCCUAAACAGGGUUGCCUUCAGAUGUCUUCUAAUAGUCAGAUGGGUUGUUUGUUUCCUUGACAUCUGAUGGGAGGGCGUCACUGCCGAGAAGCCCCUCUGCCUGGUUCCCUGUAACCUCACUUCUUGCAGUGAGGGAACUGCCAGAAGGCUCUUAGAGCUGGACCUCAGUGUCCAGGCUGAACGAUGGGGGUGGAGACGCUCCUUCAGGUAUACAGGACCAAAGCCGUUUAGAUUAAACCCAUGUAAACUGUAUUUAUCUUUCUGCAUGCUCAUUGUUAGGAUCUACUCUCAGGAGGUGAAGAGGGGACUGAUUCCAGGCAACAACCUUAACAUCUAUGCGGUGUCUAGAGUUCCUUUGUUCAUGAAUUUAUCUCCUACAUUCUAGCCUAAGUCCUCAACGUUUGUGUGUGUGUGCUGUGUGUGUUGGGGGGGUGUCACUCUAGUUGUCCAUCCACAGGGAGAAGUAUUAUAGUGCAAUAUACAUAUGAACACACACAUACAUGGUUGAGCUAUAUAAAUAAAGCAAGGAUAGGGAACCUCAGAGGCUGGAUGCAGCCCUCACCAUUUGGCCCUCAGGACUCCCAAAGGCCACACCUCCUCUCCUAGGCCACACACACCUGACCCUGCUUUGCACCCUCCUCAAGUGUUUCUGCUUUGCUGGAAUUUGUAUUUGAACCCUGAUAAUGUUUCUUGCUUGCAGGGAUGAAGGAUGCAGAGGGUGUGUGUGUGUGUGUGUGCGCGCGCACACACACACACACAAACAAGUUUACUGUACAAGGGUAAAAUCAGUUCUUUUUUUCUGGGGGGACACAAGGGUUUGCAUAACCCUAAACAUUUUGUGAAUCUAAUGAAAGAAGAAACUAUUUAUUUUUUUUUAGUUUCUUCUCUAGGAUGGUGAAUCGUCACUUCCAUUGCUACCCCCAUUGGUGGCCUCAUUUCCUGUCAGUGUUUCCUGAGUCUCAGAUGGAAUGAGAGUAGCCCUAAACACUUUUUUUAAAGAAAAAAAGCACUGAGUAAAAUUGCCAUUCAUUGAUCCAACCACUUUUGCGUCUGGCCCUGGCCUCCUCUGUCACGUUUUCCCCGGAAAGUUGCCUGGAAAGGAAUGCAGUAGCUGUCAAGCUCUGUGGAAAAACCAGAGAGAGACCUGACAUUAAGCUAUCCACAUAGGUGCAUAUUCUUUUUUUUUUUUUUAAAUAAUUUUUAUUAACCGACCAAUCAAAUCAAAUCACAUCACAUAAAUUCCGAAUUACAAAGCCGAAUUUUAAAUUUUUUGUUGGGAGUACCCAUAUUUCAAGUUCCGAAGGGGAUUCCAAUCAUCUUCUUACUGCUGCGUUAAUAUCCACAAAUUUGUCCAAAUAAUGUUCAUAUUUCUAUCCAGUCCUAUCUUGCUGUUCCCACGUCUCAUCUUAUUCAUAUAUUUUUCUUUUUUCUUUAUGAUCUCUUCUGAUAAUCUCCUUAAGCAAGUAAACACCAGUUAUAAUCUUGUGUGAAUUUUUUCGUUCAUCCAAUCACCAUAUCGAGAUGGUUUCCAUAUAUCAUCACUUCCAUAAAUAAAAGCACUCUUUACAUCAUUAAUCUUCGCAAAUCUGUUGCCUUCUUUUAGUCCUCUGAAGAGGCUCACCCGCAAUAUGAAAGCAGAUCCAUUCCUCCUCCCAGACAUAAGUCUUUCGACAGAACUUGCCAAAAUGGCGACGCUGUUUUUUACUGCGUCAUCCCAAAGCUCUUAUACUUUCCACGAUCUCCUUAAAACACGCUUUUGGUUAGAAAAUUAUCUCCACACAGUCUUAAAUCAUCAGCUUAGGUCAUUUAAGCGGCAUUUCUGACUUGUGGGGGGGGGAUUCUUGGUUAAUCACAUAGAGAAAAGAAAGGAAAGUCCCCCCCCCAUCCAGUCCCGUUGCCGACAUACCGAGCCUUGGUGUGUCUUCUCGUGAUAUAUUCCUGUUUAUCCAACCCAUCUUCUUUAUCAGAGAUCUCUUCAAUUAGCAGUCUUUACUCCCCAUUCUUCCUUGAAAUAUGUGCAUUAGCUUCCUCCUAAUUGUUUCUUUUGAAGUUGCUGCAGCUAGAGGUGCGAAUCAGAGACAGCGUCCAGGAGACCUGAGGUCCACACAAGGGCUUUCUGCCUAGUGCCCCCACCCCCUCGAGUUCGGGGGUGGUAUAGGGCACAGCAGGCUAGGGCAGUUCCCCCCCACUCGCUUGGGGGGGUCGGGAGGCUGCUUACUCCCAUCACAGCCUCUUAAUUACCUCGUGUGGGUUGAAGAGAUGUUAUUGUCAGCCAUCUUCCAAUGCGCCCCUAGUGGCACCCCCAUAGGUGCAUAUUCUUCCCCUGCUUCUGUUGCUUGUGGCCAGGUCAGUGUUUCAUGGGAAUAGCUAUGGAAUAAGGUUGCUAGCUGGUUUUUGUUGUUGUUUUUAACCGGGCUUGCUUUUGGGCCUCCCAACAGCAGAACUGUGGAAAUAAGCAGGUGAAGUUCCCUCCACCAUUUUAUUUUGAUACUCCGGCCAUUUUUGUGUAUGUCUGACUGCUGUUAAAGCCGCAGGAACAGGGCAAGUUUUGCUUUUUAAAAAAUAAAAAUAGUGGCAUUUCUUUCUAGGCAGCUGUGAAUGAGAGGUAAGUCUUUGACUGCAAUAUCUAUCCUUCCAGCCCCUUAGGAUUGGCAUUACUGCAAAAGAAUGCCUGCUUCUGUAUGUAAUUGGCCAUCUAAAGUUAUUUUUGGAGUGCCAGUGAGAGAUGUGAGCACUUUAGAAACCAUAAUAAUUCAGCCUAAUGAAUAAGUCUGCAGUCAGCACACCACACAUAAUAUGGUAUUAAGCUUACAGAACAGCUGAUUCCUUUCCCCAGGUCAGCUGUUGUAUGGUGUUGCCAGAGAUAACUGGUGAAAGUGACAGAUAGCAGAGGAUAUAACGAUAAAUUAAAAGCUAGACUUUUAAUAUCAUUUCAGGUAUGACCUGGGAUUUUCGAUAAUUAGGACUGCUUGCUGUGGAAUAGUUUAAUUUUGUUCACUUUUUUACAUAGUGCUGUCAUCAAGUUCUUCUGUGUUUCCUCCAUGAGUCCACUGUCUGUUUUCAAACUUUGCUUUUUUAUUAUUAAAGUUUGUGUGUGUGUGUGUGUGUGUUACAAAGCAAACAGAUAAACAGGGAAAGGUACAUCUGUUGUCUCCACUUUCAGUUCAUAGUCUUUUUCACAGUUCGUUUACUUUUGGUGAGAGACACUUUCAUCAUAGACAUCUUGCAGUUGGGGGGGGGGAAGAUGGGGAUAUUAUUAUUUUGUUUCAUUGUCUAUCAUUUGUGUAGUAGGGGUUUGUGUCAGCAAACUUUGUUUUAGGAACAGAAUAGAGUCAGCAGCACGGUCUCCAGAAACACACACCCUUCUUAGCCAUUGGUUAGAACAAAAUCAAUUGCACUUGAAGGGCAAAAAUAUUUGAAUGAUUGACUGCAAGACAACUGCAUCUUUAAAAACCAUUAAGUCCUGCCAAUCACACAACAGUGUGUCUGGGCAAGGCUGCUUGGUGCGCGCAUGUGCACAUACUGGCAUCUGCGUUUGGAAGAUGUGGUCGGUUUUUGGGAAUGUAAAAAAGUAAAGAACUUCUGGGAAAUGAUAUAUAAUGAGAUGAAAAAGAAAUAUACAUUUUUUAAAAAACCAGAAGCAUUUUUACUUGGUAUUAUAGGUCAGGACAUUAAUAGGCAAGAUGUUAAAUUGUUUUUAUAUGCAACAACUGUGGCAAGAGUGUUGUUAGCCCAGAAAUGGAAACAAGAAGAAAUUCCGACGAAAGAAGAAUGGCAGACGAAAUUAAUGGACUAUGCAGAAUUAGACAAAAUGACAGGAAGGAUUUGAAACCUGCGGGACCAGAGAUUUACAGAAGAUUGGAAGAAGUAUAUGAAUUAUUUGAAGAGCAAUUGUAAUCAACAAAUUACGCUAGUAGGACUACAAGAAGUUUUGUAAGGAAAAAUAUCCAAAGUGAUACAAAGUAGAAAAAGAUAGAGAUAUUGGUUAUGAGUUUGAAAUGUAAUACGGAAGAUAAGAAAUGCAUACUGAGAGAUUAGAUAGGAAAAUUUUCAGACAGGAUUGAUGGAAGUAAAAAAUUUGAAUAAGAUGUAAAAGUAUGUUUAAUUACUGUUGAAAAUGAUAUGUUAAAAAAAACUAAUAAAAAUUAUAUACAAAAAAAAAAAAAGGAAGAUGUGGUCGCAGGCUUGAUGAGCCUGGCCACACCCCUUUGGGUCAUUUCUUGCACAUGGAGUAAGCAGGGUUUAUUGCCUUGUCUGUGCUGAAUUUAGUGGGUGUGGGUGUGUAGAGGUUGGUGGUGUUAAAAGGGUUGUUUUGGUUAAUUUGGCCUACAUGGUUAAGUUGGUCACAUUGUUCACAGGAAAGUGCAAGAAAGCUGAAUGUUAGAGAAGGUGAGGACCCGUUGAAGGUGCAGGGCGUUUUUGGAGGUCAGCUGCUCUGAGUUGUGAGUCUCUUAGCCUGGACAUGGGACAUUCUUGAGGCUCCACUUCCACAGCUCUCUGGAGUUGAGGGGCUGGGAGCAUGUUAGCCAAUCAGACCUCCCUGCUCACCAUAAGGUUGGGCCCAGGCUUUGGAGCUUCGCCUUGUCAUUCCCCUUGGAAUGGGCACCUGACAUGAUUGAGGAUCGCAGAGCCAGAGACAAGUUUGGAGAGAUAAAAUCGAGAUAUGGAAAUAUGAAAAUAUUGAUGAGAGAUGAGAGGCAGGACUGAGAUUUGGAUAUGCUUCGAGAUUCAGACUGUGGGAAGUCGUAAAAUCAAGAUUAUAAUUUGGAAGACAAUUUGAUUUAUUUGAUUUUUUUAUUUUUAUUGGAUUGUGAUUUGAUAUGUUAAUUGGAUGUUUUUUAUUGGAAAAUUAAUAAACGCUCUAACAACAACAACAGAAAGGAAUGGGCACCUUUUGGCUUGCCCAUGAUUGAAGUUAAAUUAGGUUCCCACACAUUUCCCCUGCAGAUAUAUUUUAAAUAAAAUGUGGUCCUAGUUCAACCCAUCACUUGCAUCUAGCCUUUUUAUUACCAGGUCCAGUCACAAAAUGAAAAUACAAAGACAAACCCUUAAAUUCUCCCUUUAUUGGGGACUAUAUUAGCAGUUCACUUCCAAAAUAUGGGAAUCUUUUUAUAAUAUAUGAGAGAACGGAAAGUCAAAGAAUUGAUCACGAAAAAUGCUAUUUCAUAUUUGUGUCAGACUGGGACCCCCCCCUCUCCCUUUUAGUCAUACCUGUCCUGUAGUAUAUAUCAUACAACCCUGAACACAGAUUUUAAAUUUAGAGGGGACUGGGAUCUACUGUUAAUUAAGGUGGAAAUGAAAAAUGCAGACAUUCUUGGAAAUUAGGACUGAAUUGGAGGGCUAUGAGGCUUUGGGCAGAAUCCAGGAAAAGUUAGUUGUAAGUCCAGUGUCAUUGCUUUCAUUGGCGUUUAGGCAUAACUAUUUUUUUAAAGCUUCUGCCCAUUGAUUGACCAGAUUCCUGCUUCUGUAGAAUUGUCUAGAUGCCUCAUAUUACUAACAAAUGUGAAGCCACGGGUUUGUGUGUAUGUGUAUGUGUAUGUGUACGUAUGACUUGUGGACAUGAUCCCACUGCCUCCUCGGCAUGGUUACUGAAUGCAUGAAAGGGUGUUGGAAGUGGUCUUAGCUCGGUUGUUGCUGUUUUCUAGGUGGACUCAUUUUCUGGUGCUUUUUGUCCAUAAUGAACAGCCCCUGUUCCCCUAGCUGGUCUUCUGUUCUUUAGGGUCACAGAACUGGUAGUGCAUGUUUUCAUGGGUGGUGGUGGCAGCCAAAAUACUGGAUUCAGUUUUCUUCAUCUGACUUUCAUCUUCCCAGUGCGUAUAUGCCAGUUUGUAUGAAUGGAAAAAAGCCUUCUGGUCUUUGGGCUAGGGGUUGCUUUCCUCAUUUUUUUUCACAAUACAGUAUUCUUCUUAUUAUUCAUUCUUGUGUCUUGCAUAAUUGUGUAAAAAGGUUACUUUUUAAUUGUGUCAAUGUCAGAAAAAAAGUUAAGGUGCUUUGUAAGUGAACCUUUGGGGGGGAAAUAAGUGAAAAAGGCUUUUCUAAACAGGCCACCUUUUAAAUGUUUUAUAUAUCAUUCAGUUUACAAAGAUAAUAAUUUUUUUGGGCUGUUAAAGGUAGCUGGGCUUGCUCUUGUUUGCCUUUCAAGGCUCCCUUUUUAUUAGUUCAUGCUUUAAAUUGUGUGCUCAGGGGAAAAAAUGAUUCUCUUCCCAUCAAUUUUUUUCAACAGUUACGAAUCCUAUCAAGAGUUCUGUACAUCUUUCUCGUAGUCUUUAUUUCUUUGGGGUUUUUGUUUUGAUGGGAAAAUAUGAGAGGGGAGGGUGGGAACCUGUUUCAUGAGUUUAAAGAUUUCAAAAAAGAACUAUCUAGCUAAAGAACUAAGUAGAUGACCUUAGGUUUGGCACAGUCUCUUGGUCUUAGCCCCACACCUGCGGUAUAACUGUACUACCUUACAUGGUUUCAGUAAUUCCAGAUUGAUUUAUUUCAUUUUUAGUUUGUAAAAUUAAAAUUUGCAAAAGCUUUGGAACUUCGUUGGGUUGGAUCCUGAGCCUUUAGUUAAAAAUUAUACCCACUUCAAUAUGGUUUACAAUACUAUACAGCAGUCUUCCUUUGUCAACCUAGUGCCCUCCAGAUGUUUUGGCGUACAGUUACAACCAGUUAAGUUUUUUUUAAAAAAACAACAACAACCUGUCAUCUAAGAAUAUAAAGAUACCACCAGCUCUAGCAAUUAAACUCUGCCUUGGGGGCUGUCCAAAGCAGGGGAACUUGGGUUUUGGGAUAGGGAGCAGCUCCCUGAACUAUGGGGCUACUUCCCCUUUGAAUUCUCAGAUAGUUUUAGGUAAAAGAUCCAGGGCCCAGGACAUUAUGUUGACCUAAGGCAAAGUAGUAAUAAAUGUGAUUAAUGGUCCACCCCCCAAUAUUAAGGUCAUAUUAGAUCCCCUUGGUGUGUCUAUUAAACUGCACAAACCUCAACAUUCCCCCACUGCUGUCUAGAGGACAUCCUAUUGCCAGGGGUAAUGUUAGGGCUGCAUAGAGAAGGGAGUCCGGCUUUCAUUUUGUGUUCACUUGCUUGCAUUCAGAAUACUUGCUGCUCCUGUGAAAUAAUCCCAUUGAUGUCAAGCUGAACGGAAAUGCUUGCAAUAUGGAUGAAAGACAACAGCUUGCUCCAUGUGGAAAGGAUAAAAAUGUAAUGAUAUUGUUUUCCUGAUUGCAAAUGAUGCAAUUCAAAGCAAGACCUUUUAUUGGACCACAAUAUUGAUAGACUACAGUAGCAAAGUUUUGCAGAACUUUUAAAAAUAAAUACGUUUGGAUAUAUGCUCGUUGUAAACUUACUUCUCGCUAUCAAUUGGUUGUUCUUUCAGACUUUUAUGCAACCACAUCAAUCAUAAAUAAGGGAGGAGGGGAACAUCAAAAUGAACGUGCAGUUUAUUAAACCAGCAUGUAUGCGCCUUGGAUAAUAGUGUUAAUAGCUCAGCCCUACUCCAAACUUUAAUUCCUCUGUGAAAGGUGUACACCGUUGAGACAAUUAGGCAGAAUAUGCGCCUUAGCCAGCUGACCUUUCUGCUGUGCUUUCCUCUGUGCUUUGAAGAUGUUCAUCAGUUUCCAUUUUCAUGCUGUGCUUACAGGCUGGACAGCUUGAGGAGGAAUUAGACCUGCAUGUAAAUAACAUAGCUAUGUGAUGGGGAUUUGAAACGGUCUCAUAACCUUCAAGGAGAGAGAUGGCAAGGUUAUUCUGAAACUGCUCCAAGCAGCCAUCUCAGAGUUAAAUAUUUAGCACACCCUUGCAAAAAUGCAAUUGCGUAACAGGCAGGAAUGUUGCAGGCUGAUUGUGAAUUCACCGCCUGUCUUGGAACAACAGGCAGUCAGAGAUACCCUCUUGUGGUUCGUAGAGCAGUAACCCUUCCAUUUGUCUCUUGGAUUUUCUUUACGGAUGGAGGUGAGAGGGCCAGAGUAGUUAUGGCUUUGUGCUGGAACUCUUACAUUAUAUAAAGCUACUCUGGCUCCGUGUAGCAUUAUUUAAUCCGUUAUUUAAUCCAUCAUGGCACUGAGGAUCACUAUCUGGCUUGCUUGUCCUUUGCAGAUCUCCCCAUACUGUACUCUUAUCUUAAAGCCACCAUAUGGGAUAUGCUUGAAAGGCUGUUUCCUUGCUGCAAACAAGGCAAACCACUUUUCAUGGUAAAUUUUCGAAUUUGCAUUGAAAAGUGAGUUGUCUCCUCAGCAUGCAGUGGAAGCUCCAAAGAAAUGCUUCAGUCUUUAUUAUUUCCAUUGUGGGCAUGGAGACCAUCUGAAAGUGCCUAAAACAAAUGUUCCUUGAAUCAUACUUUUUAGAAUUACUGAUCUAAAUAAUGUAAAAUCCUCUGAGUAAGAGUUAACAUUUGUCAUGCAAAGCUAGCAUGAGUAGGAGACCCUUAAUACUGUAUUUACUCGAAGGUAAUGCACACCUUUUUUGGUUGAAUGACACCACGAAAAUUAGGGUGCACAUGAGAUUUGAUGGCACAUUUAUGUUCUUUGCAAUAAUUUCCACCAUCAAAAACUUUUGAUUGCAUCAUGCCCUGACGCUGAAAAUUUAGGUUUUCUAAACCUAGUUUUUCCACCAAAAAAGCUACAUUUAUACAUUUUUAAAAGGCAUUUAUAAAAUCUUUUGAGUGCUGAUGUAUUUCCCCCCUGAAAUCCUCAUCAUGUUAUUGAUCACUGUAUAAAAUUUCAAAGAGAUCUGAUCAUUGGUUAUGGAGAAAAAAAUAAAAUGCACACAAGGCCGAGGAUCUCAAGAGGGACAGAAACACAGAUUUCACGAAACUUUGAAGUGCUAUAAAAUUAAAACCGUUUGAGAUAGAGGGGAAAAAAUUAAGGGGGUUUCUUUCAACCAUAAGGGAAGGGUGUGCACCAAGUUUCAACAAAAUCCGAGAUGGUGGGUGGCAUGACCGCGUUGAACUGACAUGGAAUGACGCACACUCAUAAUGACAAUAAAGAAGGCUAUCUAACUUGUUGGAUGUGCACAUUCGGGAAAAAGGACAUAAACAGGAUACUUUGCUAAUAUUUCCACUUUCUACAAAUUAUUUUUCGGAAAGUCUGCAUCUUUCCCACAAUAUAUGCUAAAUUACAUUCUUAACUCAUUUGGAUAGAAAGGUGGGGGGGGGGAACCUCAUGAGAACUUGUGAGUGUGCUGUGGAAAUUGGGAAUGACUGUGUCUUAACCAUUGUCCUGGGCCUCCUUUGAACAACCGGUUCUGCUGACAAUGAAAUGGUCUGCUUAGUAAAUGUGUUCAAUUAACAUUGUCUUACAGAGGGAACCUUUUGUCUUGCACUCAUUGUUACGCAGAAGCAUUCUUGCUCUGCAGUUUUUAUUGCAGCAGGAUUUCUUAAUUUGCAUCUUGCCACUCCUUUGACCCUAUUUCAGCUGCCAGUGCCUUGGUGCUUAUCACAGAUGCUCACUCUAUUUUGUCUUCAUAUGGGGGAAAAUAUAACCAUAGUCUUGGAUUGUGAAGCUACUCUUGGCUGGCAUGAAAAAGGCCAAUUUAUCCGCUACUGUUUCCUUAGCUCCUCUAGUGAAUUUUAAUUUGGUAUCUGGUAUGUCACUACUGAAAAAGCCCUUUCUGUUAUUGUGACUGCUCUGUUUUAAGCAGGAACUGAAAAGAGAACAGCAAAGGUGUCGUCUUCUUCUUUUUUAAAUAAAUUUUUAUUAAAUUUUCCACCAUAAUAACACAAACCACAAAGCAAAUUAAUACAC